GUACUCACUUCAGUAGCACAAUUACUAAAAGUGGAACAAUACAGAGAAGAUUAGCAUGGCUUUUGCACAAGAAUGACAUUGCAAAUUCAUGAAGUGUCCCAUAUUUAA